GUGAAUCAUCGAAUUUUUGAACGCAAAUUGCACUCUCUUCGGAGAGUAUGCCUGGUUGAGGGUCAGCCUAAAAAAAAAAAUCGACAUAGUCGCUGUUUCGCGGUGACAUUCGUCGGAAAUUUUUUCAUCUUAAACCUUUGGGUUUUAAUUGGUUUAAAAUUUUCUUUACGUUUCCACGCACGUUUCUAAGAUUUAUUUCUUUUACUUUUAAGUUAUCGAUCUUUAUUAGACGUGGCCGUUGCAUCGGAUCGCGUCCAUAAAUA
rnacentral:misc_RNA from 1 species